UACGUAGGGUGCGAGCGUUAAUCGGAAUUACUGGGCGUAAAGCGUGCGCAGGCGGUUAUUUAAGUCAGGUGUGAAAUCCCUGGGCUUAACCUAGGAAUUGCGCUUGAGACUGGAUAGCUUGGAGUGCGGCAGAGGGAGGUGGAAUUCCACGUGUAGCAGUGAAAUGCGUAGAGAUGUGGAGGAACACCGAUGGCGAAGGCAGCCUCCUGGGCCAGCACUGACGCUCAUGCACGAAAGCGUGGGGAGCAAACAGG
rnacentral:rRNA from 1 species